CAAUAAAAAAUUCCCUGUUUAGAAAUUGGAUAGUUUCGUCCAUGUAAACCUUGAAAUGAUUCAAACCAUAUAUUGUUUAAUAGGGCGGAACUAGACUUCAGUAAUCGUUAAACUAUUAGGGAUUCACUUCAAUUUGUUUUCCACGAUUG
ensembl:ncRNA T10E10.9 ncRNA